UGGGGAAUAUUGGACAAUGGGCGAAAGCCUGAUCCAGCCACGCCGCGUGAGUGAUGAAGGCCUUCGGGUCGUAAAGCUCUGUGGGGAGGGACGAACGGCGCCGUGAAGAACGGCGAUUGACGGUACCUCCUUAGCAAGCACCGGCUAACUUCGUGCCAGCAGCCGCGGUAAUACGAAGGGUGCAAACGUUGCUCGGAAUCAUUGGGCGUAAAGCGCACGUAGGCGGCUCCGUAAGUCGGAUGUGAAAUCCCUCGGCUUAACCGAGGACGUGCAUCCGAAACUGUGGAGCUCGAGUAUGGAAGAGGGUCGCAGAAUUCCCGGUGUAGAGGUGAAAUUCGUAGAUAUCGGGAGGAAUACCAGUGGCGAAGGCGGCGACCUGGGCCAAUACUGACGCUGAGGU
rnacentral:rRNA from 1 species